ACGUAGGUGGCAAGCGUUGUCAGGAUUUACUGGGUGUAAAGGGCGUGUAGGCGGGACUGCAAGUCAGAUGUGAAAUACAGGGGCUCAACCCCUGAACUGCAUUUGAAACUGUGGUUCUUGAGUGAUGGAGAGGCAGGCGGAAUUACUAGUGUAGCGGUGAAAUGCGUAGAUAUUAGGAGGAACACCAGUGGCGAAGGCGGCCUGCUGGACAUUAACUGACGCUGAGGCGCGAAAGCGUGGGGAGCAAACAG
rnacentral:rRNA from 1 species